UUCAUUUAGCUGCUGGAAGCAGGACGUAUGCAUAGCUCACAGCCGAGUGGCAGGAGGACCGAAGAAUCUGUGGACAUGGCGCCCACUCAGCGGCUGCACUGGACUGUCUUUGUUUGGCAGGUCCAAGGUGACAGCUACUAGCCACAUGUCACUACCGACCACUUGAAAUGGGACUAGUCCAAAGUGACAUGUGCUGUGAGUACAAAAUACACAUCCAAUUUUGAAGACUUAGUAUGAAGGUGUGAAAUGUCUCGUAAUAAUGUUUUAAGUCCUGUUAUAGCUGAAAUGAGUGUGCCCUGCGUUUCUGCUGGAAGCACACGCUGCGUCUUGGUCUGGGUUUCCCGCCCAGCGGGAGCCUGCCCAAGCCUGAGCCGCCCGUCCUUCUGCUGAGGAUUUGGCCUGAGUCCCCCACUUAGCUCUCCGCAGUGGCUGGGUCUGCAUCUGAGCUUCUCCCGGGCACGGCGAGGGACCUCAACAUAUUUUUGGAGGCGGCAGUCUCUCAGAAGGUUGUGCGUUUGUGCGUGAAGUGGGAGGAAGCAUUUCUUGGGGUGUGAACAAACAAGCCUUGGGGUGCUCUGGAAAACCACAGGGGUGCAGAGGCCAGGGCCCCGCGGGGGAGGGAGGUUGCAUGCUCCACGUGCCUGGUGUGUUCACAGAACAGACUGCGAUGACAGAGGCAGAAACUGUGCUGAUGGGUCUACAAGCCAAGGAACGCCAAGGCUGCUGGCGCCCACCAGAGCUGCGGAGGCGCGAGAGGGACCCUCCCACGGAGCCUGCAGAGGGAGCGGCCCUGCGACCCCUGGUCUCGGCAGUGUGGUGGCUAGAACUCAGGAGAGUGGGCUGGAAGCCCCCACGACUGUGGUCCUGUGUUACGGUGGCCCCAGGACGUUAAUAUACACACGUCUCAGAGGUCACUACAGGGUGUGGCUCCAGGCUGUGGCUGAGGGUGGACCCGAUCUGGACAGACUGGCAACAUUUUCACGUGGGCCCGGCAGGCAUCAGGGGACAAAUACUAGAUUCAGUGACCACCCAGCUCAGAGCCUCCUCAGGGACAGUUGCAAACCGAAGCAAACAAGAACGCACUUAGCACAUUUUCUGGAUUUCUGUGCUCGAAAGUGACGCAAGGAAGGUGUGGUCUGGAGCGGCCUCAGCAGGGAAGGGAGGUAGCUGAGUUUCAGUUCCAGCACCAUCAUGAGACAUGGCGCAUUCUUUAAAGGGCCGUUCCAAGCUCUUGGCGUAUGUGUUGAAAGCAUUGCUUUUUACCUCGAAAGAUACAGACCGCGGCUGGGUGCACACUGGCAUUCCUGGGAGGCUGUGACAAAGGACCAGCGACCAGGCGGCUGACAACAACAGGAGUUCACCUCUCACCGUCCUGGAGGCCGGAAGCACAGCCUCCCUCUGGAGGGGACGUCCUCCUGCCUCUCCCAGCCUCCGGGCGGCCACACGCCUUGGCGCCCUCAGCUUCCAGAUAUCCACUCGGCCUCGGCUUCUCUUGUCACGUGGCUGUCUUCUCGGGGUGGCUCUCUUGUCCUCUGCUAAUAAGGACACCUGUCAUCUUGGAUUUGGGGCCACCGUGCUCAGUGUGACCUCAUCUGAACUAGUCACAUCUGCGAUGACCUUAUUUCUAAACAAGGUCACCUUCUGAGGUCCUGAGGGUUGGGGAAGAAGGUUCGAUCCAAAACACACACCUCAAGCACCCCCUUCUUUCAUUCUUCCUUUCUCGUGACUGGGGUUCUCACCUGGACAAAGGGCAAAGGCCUGAAGUAGGAGUUGGCAGCCCUCGAAGCUGGAACCGGGCGCCCUGGCUUCUCUUUGGCCAAACCCACUUCUUGGCACUGUUUUCCGGGAGCGGACCCGGCCUCUGAGCCAGUGGGGCUGGGAGAGGAGCUGGGAGAGUCUCCGCCAGCUGCUGCCCAUGGCCCUGGGCCGAGAGGAGCCGGGCUGGCGGGGCGGCGGCCUGGGCCCUGACGCGGGCACCCCUCCGCCUUCCACCCACCCGCCAGCAGGACAGGGCGCCGCUUCCAGCUUAGAAAGCGUGACCUUAUCAACGCCAUCAGAUACUACUGGUGCUAGUGUUCAAGUGGAAAGACUUCAAAGUGAAACUUAAGCACCACCUUUGGGACGCGAAGCCAAGCUUUCGGCAUCUGGUGGGGAGCGGGGGGCAGAAAGGAUGGAGAGACCCGUCAUUGUCUUCUCACUAAACAAAGAAUGACGUUAUGCGGGGGCAACGUCUGAGGUUUCACUGAACUCGGAAAGCAAGCCAGAUGGGACCCACCUCUCUCCUCCCACCUGGACUCUAGAAGAUUGCAGCGAGGCAUUCCGGGAAAUGAGGAAUUCCCAGGGCGCAAGCAUCUCCGUGGAUAACCGGUCACAAGUCGCCCUUUAAGAGUGCCGUCCAUUACAGAUGGCGUCUGUGGCAUACAUGGCACCUCUUCCUGCUGACCCGAAGAGAUGCUAACCACAUGAAAAUAGUGUUUGUUAUUUAUCAGGCUGAUUUCUCUAAACUUGCUGUGCCACCCUGUGAUGUCAUUCCAGAGCACUAAGGUGCAUUGGCUGGCUGGGCCCACUCUAAUGGCCCCAGGCUGCCUCGUCACUGUUUAGGGAAAUGUCCUUUUAUCUUAACUUUUCUUCCUCUUCGUUAUUAGCCUGACAGUUACCGCUUGUUGUGUAAUCAAUACCUCUCCUCUUACCCCUGAAUUUCCUCGUUCUAAUCUGCACUGAAUGUUAGAAUCGGGCCUUAAAUACUCGUGAGUUGUCCCUGUGUGAACGGCCCAGCUAUGCUUAGGUGAGUAAAAUGACUGACCUUG